UUUUGUUGAGACUUGAGAGGAAUAAUGUACUUAUGAGAAAAAACCGAAUUGAGACAAGUGGCGAGUGUAAAGAGGUAGUUGGGAUUGUCAGUCCGCAGCUUCUACACUGUCAGAAUCAUCAUCAGCUCAAAACUCAAAGCAAAUCCAAAAUCACAAUCCCAAUUUCAAAAACCCUAACUUCAAAUUCUUAGAUCUAUUCCAUCCAUGGCUUCUUCCAAGCUCAUGCCUUCUUCCGAUCCACCUUCUUCUCCAUCUUCCAAACCUCACUUCACCACCGCCAAUUUCCUCGACGAUCAAAUCUCCCUCGCUGACGCCGUCGCCACUCCCCGAACCGUCGACGAUGUCUGGCGAGAGAUUGUCGCCGGUGAUGCGAUCUCCGGCGAUAGGGAGUGUAAAGAAGAGAUUUCCGAUGAGAUGAUGACGCUGGAGGAUUUUCUUGUGAAAGCUGGUGCCGUUGAGGAUGAGGAGGAGGGUGAGGAUGUUAAGAUGACGAUUCCGUUAUCGGAGACGCUUAGUGGUAGUGGUAUGUUUUCCUUGGAUUCCAGUUUUCAGGGAAUUGAAAACGUUGAUGGGUCGGUGAUAGGGUUUGGGAAUGGGAAUGUGAAUGUGAAUGGGGUGGAAAUGGUUGAAGGUGGAGGAAGGGGGAAGAGAGGACGGCCUGUUAUGGAGCAGUUGGAUAAAGCUGCUCAGCAGAGGCAGAGGAGAAUGAUUAAGAAUAGAGAAUCUGCUGCUAGGUCUAGGGAACGCAAGCAGGCUUAUCAAGUGGAAUUGGAGUCAUUGGCGGUGAAGCUAGAGGAGGAAAAUGACAAGUUGAUGAAGGAAAAGGCUGAGAGGAAAAAGGAGAGGUUCAAGCAGCUGAAGAUUGCUUGCUAGUUGCUACUGAUGAAUAUGUUGUCUUGGCUGAUAAUCAUCUUCUACAAAUUAAAUUUGAGUUUUCGUUCUUAAAUCUUAUGGAAAAAGUGAUUCCUGUUGUGGAGCAGCGACGGCCGCCACGGUUACUCCGUAGGGUUCGCUCCUUGCAGUGGUAGAUCAUAUUUGCUAGUGGUACAAGAUGUGAACUGAGGAUUGUGGGAAAUAAUAAAAUGGGCAAAUUAAUCAUUAUUUAUCAGAUCAAAAUAUUUAGUCUCAAGGGUAACUGUGGUUAAUGAUAAGAAGAGAUAGAAGGAAUCGGUACCUGAAUGGAGUACGUAAGAAAUGUCUUUUGCUCAUUUUAUGGAGAUAAAAAGCAGAAUUAUGAAGUUGGACCAUUUAGUUUAGAUACAAAGUAGGCAUUCUGGUCUCACCCCUGUGCAGACUGCAAAUGUGCUAAUAGAGAGCAAAGGGGAUUGUAGACGACUAUAUAAUGUAGUCAUGGUUUAGAGAGAUGCUAUUAUUUAGGAAAAAAAAGUAUAUACAGAAAUUGUUUAUUUGAUCUGUCAGUGGCAUUCCGUCUUGAAACUUCUGUGCUUGUGAAAGAUAACUUCUUAACCAUCACUGAUAUGUGGAGAUGCCUUGGUAAAUUUAGCUGUACUAUUACUAAUAGUCCUCGUCUUUUUGAGGAAUUUAUCUUACUUUGACCA